rnacentral:rRNA from 1 species
CCAAUAGCGUAUAUUAAAGUUGUUGCAGUUAAAAAGCUCGUAGUUGAAUUUCGGGGUUAGUAGGUUGGUCAUGCCUCGGGUAUGUACUGGUCUCACUGAUUCCUCCUUCCUGAUGAACCGUAAUGCCAUUAAUUUGGUGUUGCGGGGAAUUUGGACUGUUACUUUGAAAAAAUAAGAGUGGUUAAAGCAGGCUAACGCUUGAAUACAUUAGCAUGGAAUAAUGAAAUAGGACGUUCGAUCCUAUUUUGUUGGUUUCUAGGAUUGACGUAAUGAUUAAUAGGGAUAGUUGGGGGCAUUAGUAUUCAAUUGUCAGAGGUGAAAUUCUUGGAUUUAUUGAAGACUAACUACUGCGAAAGCAUUUGCCAAGGAUGUUUUCAUUAAUCAAGAACGAAAGUUAGGGGAUCGAAGACGAUCAGAUACCGUCGUAGUCUUAACCAUAAACUAUGCCGACUAGGGAUCGGAUGAUGUUAAUUUUUUAAUGACUCAUUCGGCGCCUUACG